AACGCUGGCUGCGUGCUUAACUCAUGCAAGUCGAACGGAAAGGCCCUGCUUGCAGGGUACUCGAGUGGCGAACGGGUGAGUAACACGUGGGUGAUCUGCCCUGCACUUCGGGAUAAGCUUGGGAAACUGGGUCUAAUACCGGAUAGGAGCCAUCUUUAGUGUGGUGGUUGGAACGUUUUUUCGGUGUAGGAUGAGCUCGCGGCCUAUCAGCUUGUUGGUGGGGUAAUGGCCUACCAAGGCGGCGACGGGUAGCCGGCCUGAGAGGGUGUACGGCCACAUUGGGACUGUGAUACGGCCCAGACUCCUACGGGAGGCAGCAGUGGGGAAUAUUGCACAAUGGGCGCAAGCCUGAUGCAGCGACGCCGCGUGGGGGAUGAAGGCCUUCGGGUUGUAAACUCCUUUCGCUAGGGACGAAGCUUUGUUGUGACGGUACCUAGAUAAGAAGCACCGGCUAACUACGUG
rnacentral:rRNA from 1 species